rnacentral:rRNA from 1 species
GCAGCACGGAGCUUGCUCUGGUGGCGAGUGGCGAACGGGUGAGUAAUGCGUCGGAACGUAUCCAAUAAUGGGGGAUAACGCAGCGAAAGCUGUGCUAAUACCGCAUACGCCCUCCGGGGGAAAGCAGGGGAUCGUAAGACCUUGCGUUAAUGGAGCGGCCGACGUCUGAUUAGCUAGUUGGUAGGGUAAAGGCCUACCAAGGCGACGAUCAGUAGCUGGUCUGAGAGGAUGAUCAGCCACACUGGGACUGAGACACGGCCCAGACUCCUACGGGAGGCAGCAGUGGGGAAUUUUGGACAAUGGGCGCAAGCCUGAUCCAGCCAUUCCGCGUGAGUGAAGAAGGCCUUCGGGUUGUAAAGCUCUUUCAGGAGGGAAGAAACGAUUGUGGCUAAUACCCAUGAUUAAUGACGGUACCUUCAGAAGAAGCACCGGCUAACUACGUGCCAGCAGCCGCGGUAAUACGUAGGGUGCGAGCGUUAAUCGGAAUUACUGGGCGUAAAGCGUGCGCAGGCGGUUUUUCAAGUCUGAUGUGAAAUCCCCGGGCUUAACCUGGGAACUGCGUUGGAAACUGAAAGACUAGAGUGCGGCAGAGGGGGGUAGAAUUCCACGUGUAGCAGUGAAAUGCGUAGAUAUGUGGAGGAAUACCGAUGGCGAAGGCAGCCCCCUGGGUCGACACUGACGCUCAUGCACGAAAGCGUGGGUAGCAAACAGGAUUAGAUACCCUGGUAGUCCACGCCCUAAACGAUGUCAACUAGUUGUUGGGGAGGGAGANCUCCUUAGUAACGCAGCUAACGCGUGAAGUUGACCGCCUGGGGAGUACGGUCGCAAGAUUAAAACUCAAAGGAAUUGACGGGGGCCCGCACAAGCGGUGGAUUAUGUGGAUUAAUUCGAUGCAACGCGAAAAACCUUACCUACCCNUNGA